GACAGGAAUCAGAGCAGAUGCUGUAAAAAUACAGUGACGGCUGGUCACCUUUCUGUAUUCUGGAGUACACAUUCAUUCUCAUACCAACCUCCAUUUUAUUGUAAGUCAUUCUAUUCCCAAUGCCUUAGGAGGAAAGAACCCUGUCUUCUCCUCAGUCCAUGGUUUGCCAGGCCAAAUCCUAGUUCUUCCUAUAAAAACUGGGCUCCUGUUCACCCUACCAUAAACAGCUCAAAGCUGAGCUCUUUCAAAGGGGAUGAGGAGCCAGGUUGAAGAUUGAGGGGUUUUUGACAACGGUCUUUGAAAAUAAACCAUGGAAAUACUGAGCUGUGGCUGAUCUUGGAUGCCCACGCUAAGCAUGGAAGGGCUUAUGGAGCAGGUGUAAACCCAUCUAAACGCCAGCCCCCCCUAUUUCCCUUGUAACCCCAUCGCAUUAUGCUCACAUGAUGUGUGGGAUAUUUUAGGAAGCCACAGAUGUAAAUGGGACUGAGGUCAGAGCAGCACAGCCUUGGUGGAGAAGUGGUGCCAGGGGCUGGAGAUAGCCCACAGCAUGGUGGGGUCUCAACAGCUCUGUUUGCGCCGCAGGUGUUAUCAAUAACCAGCUAAUCUUUGGUCAAGGGCUGCUUGGGAAUGGCAAGUGCUUCAAAAGGUUACCUGGGGGAUGUUGACCAGUGCCAGAUGAAGUAUGAUGCUCCAGGAAUCUCUCAGGGUGAGCUGGACGUCAGGCUGGGAGAAGCUGUUCUGCUCUUGAUGUGGGUACUGCUGUUGGUGAUCCUACAGUGUGCACCAGCAAGGCAGAAAGAUUUUGCAUAUCAAUGCCAGAAUUGUUUGACAAGAGCCCGUGCUGGUGAGCCUGUGAGUGAGCAGCUUUGCUAGAGCACCUGCAGCAACUCCAGCUGUCAGCAGGAGAUGCUUCUGGAAGCAAAACUGGAGGAAAAAUGCUGCAUCAGGAGUA